CAAAGAAUAGUUUAUUUAAAAUAUUAAUUUUGGAGAUUAGUGAAAGGGGAAAACUCUUUCUUUGA
rnacentral:tRNA from 1 species